CUUUGCAGACAGAUGACAGAAGCAUCACUGCAGUGUGGGCUCAGAUGAGGAUGCCUUCACAUUUCACUAAUGAAGAGAUUCGCCAGGUACCAGAUCAACACAGUCCAAUAGAAAUACAUUGAAAGACAUGGAUAUAAUUAAAAUUUUCUAGCAGUCACAGAGGCAUGACUCAUUGAGGAUCAUCUUAGAAUUCUACUUAACCCACCCACAUUAAUAAAGAUUUUUAAAGAGACAGACACAUAUGUGGGUUUGGUCACCACCAUGUCCCAGUGAAGCCAGCCCUUGUCCCAGAGAUGCAGAGUGCUGGCCCCCAGCAGGCUGGAACAUAGGCAGCAGGUGGCACAUGGAGCCUCUUAUGCUGGGUGUAGGCCGAGGCACAGUCAACCAGGGUGGAGGCAAGCCAGGGUGUGCUACUCUGCUACCCUGUGGUGGGCCAGACCUGGCCUGAUGUGGACACCUGCUCUAUAUAGUGCAGCAGCCCAGAACCCACACAUCCACCAUCUGAUGUCCUCAGCCUCCUGCUUACCAAUCAUCAUGAAGAAAAUGAAGUGGGGCAGGCCUAAAUGGGAGUUCAGACUCAAGGAUUAAAUAAUAGCAAGUACUUUCCCAAACCCUGAUUAGCAUAAACUCGGACCAAUAGCAUUGACCCAGUUGCCACACAAACUCCUAGACUAGUACAACCUUGGGGUCCCCUCUUGCCCUUGCAAGAGUUCUGUUACUG